UGUGGUUUUACUCUUUUGAAUUUUUCUCGUCAAAUACAUACGGGUGCAAGAAUUGAAACUGACCCGUUUGUACUCUUCUCAAGUUGAGCAAGUGUUUUAUGUGGAAGAUCCUAAAAAUGUGAAUUGGCAUGUCGUUAUGAGGGUUUCUCCAAGGGAUGUGUAUGAUAUGGGUAAAGAGAAUGAAUAAGAUGAUACGAACCUAGUAUCUUUGAGUGAUCAAGCUUUUGAUGAGAAUGAGCAGCCUACUUGGAUUCGAAGUGGUUUCUAUGAAGACGAUUAGAAACUGGUUGAGGGGUCGAUGACGGUUUCAACUACAAGAAAAACUAGAGAUCCUUAUAUGAUUGUCAAAGUUAGGGAUCUUAUUUAAGCUUCUAUCAAGGAGUGUUCCUGCUCCUCAGGCUAUCAAAAUUUUGAAUGAUGAAGUGCAAUGUGAUAUCAUCAAGAUUGGCAGCUUGGUUUGCAAUAAGGUAUUUUAUUGUUAUUUAGGUUAGUUUAGUUGAUUCAGUUUUUAGAAGGUUGCAGUUUGAUUACAGUUAGGUGUUUUGAAAUUUGGUUGAGCAAAUAUUUAAUAUAAGUUUAUCGGUUUGAUCAAUGUAACCAACUAAUUCGAUCGGUUCAUAUUGUGUUUUUAAGAUUUU